UAAUACAGAGGGGGCGAGCGUUAUUCGGAAUUAUUGGGCGUAAAGGGCGCGUAGGCGGCUAGGUAAGUCAAAGGUGAAAUCCCUCGGCUCAACUGAGGAACUGCCUUUGAAACUGCCUGGCUCGAGGCCGGGAGAGGGUAGUGGAAUUCCCAGUGUAGCGGUGAAAUGCGUAGAUAUUGGGAGGAACACCGGUGGCGAAGGCGGCUACCUGGACCGGUUCUGACGCUGAGGCGCGAAAGCGUGGGGAGCAAACAGGAUUAGAUACCCUGGUAGUCCACGCUGUAAACGAUGGGUACUCGGUGCUGGGGGUAUCGACCCCUCCGGUGCCUUAGCUAACGCGUUAAGUACCCCGCCUGGGGAGUACGGUCGCAAGGCUG
rnacentral:rRNA from 1 species